rnacentral:rRNA from 1 species
CGGAGGGUAGUCCGGGGAGGACGAGGUGGUUGGCAUGGUUGUCGUCAGCUCGUGUCGUGAGAUGUUGGGUUAAGUCCCGCAACGAGCGCAACCCUUAUUGCUAGUUACCAUCAUUGAGUUGGGACGUCUAGCGAGACUGCCAGCGAUAAGCUGGAGGAAGGUGGGAUGACGUCAAAUCAUCAUGCCCUUAUGACCUGGGCUACAAACGUGAUACAAUGGCUGGAACAAAGGGAGGCGAAGGGGUGACCUGGAGCGAAACCCAAAAAUACAGUCUCAGUUCGGAUUGAAGUCUGCAACUCGACUUCAUGAAGUCGGAAUCGCUAGUAAUCGCGGAUCAGAACGCCGCGGUGAAUACGUUCUCGGGUUU